rnacentral:misc_RNA from 1 species
UUUAUCGGUCCACAAACGAACCCGGUGUACCCUGCCAUAACUCCGUGAAUGGCAGAGUGCGCCAACAACGUGCAGUACGAGUUAUCUGUUGCGUUUGGAGGAACAGCACGUAUCAUGUACGUAGGAUCUAUGUAUUUUAUCGUGAACAACUCGUUUGGAUGAUCCCUGCUCCACCAAUUCUUGAGUUCGGACUUCAGCCACCCUCCAACGUCCAAGAAGACUGGGUUGCCCGACUCGUCCUUCUCUGUUUUCUGGGAUUCAGUCCUCGGUAUUAUAUCUUGUCCUGCACCCUCGGCUACUACCAGCACCGCGUGCCCCAUCUCCUUCAACCGGUCUUCGAGAAAUUCAAAUAGCCCUCCCUUACCUUCCAAGUAGAAGUCGAUCUCGGGAAUCAAACAACAAUCGACAUCACGGCUACUUAAUGUUGCAUGUAGUGCAAUAUGACCAGUACUGCGACCCAUAAGCUUCACCAACCCUAUCCCAUUUACUGCACUCUCCGCUUCUACAUGAGCGGCAUUAAUAGCUUGUUGUGCCAUCUCAACUGCAGUUUGGAACCCAAAUGAUCUGUCGAUAAUG